rnacentral:tRNA from 1 species
GCUUCAGUAGUCGAGCUGGCUAAGACACUCGCCUUGGAAAGUCGAGAGAUCUCAAGUUCGAAUCCUGGCUGAGAUA